AGGAUCAUUAUCGAUGCAAGAGCAAAGGGGGGAAUGCGGGGAGAUUGUCGCUGGCAAGUUCUUGCUUGCAUGUGCACGUCCGUCGUCUACCUCUUUUGUUCAUACACUAUAUUUCACACCUGUGCACCUGUUGUAGGUCGCUCGCAAGAGUUGAUCUAUGUUUUUCUACACCCCAUUAUCGUAUGUCCAUAGAAUGUCUCAAAGACCUCGACCUCCGGGUCGUCGCUCUUAUGAAUUUAUACAACUUUCAGCAACGGAUCUCUUGGCUCUCGCAUCGAUGAAGAACGCAGCGAAUUGCGAUAAGUAAUGUGAAUUGCAGAUUUUCAGUGAAUCAUCGAAUCUUUGAACGCACCUUGCGCUCCUUGGUAUUCCGAGGAGCAUGCCUGUUUGAGUGUCAUUAGUAUUCUCAACCCGUGUUUUGCUUUGACAUUCACGGGAUUGGAUUGUGGAGGUUGCUGGUGGCGAAACGCUGUCAGCUCUUCUGAAAUAUAUUAGCAAAGGACAAGCAAGUCUUGCGUGCACGGCCUUCGACGUGAUAAUGAUCGUUGUUCGCUGGAGCGUCA
rnacentral:rRNA from 1 species